rnacentral:misc_RNA from 1 species
UCGCGGCUUAUCACCGGCAGUCCCCUUAGAGUGCCCAACUGAAUGAUGGCAACUAAGGGCGAGGGUUGCGCUCGUUGCGGGACUUAACCCAACAUCUCACGACACGAGCUGACGACAGCCAUGCACCACCUGCACACAGGCCACAAGGGAAGCACUAUCUCUAGUGCCGUCCUGUGCAUGUCAAGCCCAGGUAAGGUUCUUCGCGUUGCCUCGAAUUAAGCCACAUGCUCCGCCGCUUGUGCGGGCCCCCGUCAAUUCCUUUGAGUUUCAACCUUGCGGUCGUACUCCCCAGGCGGGGUACUUCCUGCGUUAGCGCCGGCACCCAGAGGGUCGCUCCCCCAGGCACCUAGUACCCAUCGUUUACGGCGUGGACUAC